rnacentral:rRNA from 1 species
AUUGAACGCUGGCGGCAGGCCUAACACAUGCAAGUCGAACGAGUGGCGGACGGGUGAGUAAUGUCUGGGAAACUGCCCGAUGGAGGGGGAUAACUACUGGAAACGGUAGCUAAUACCGCAUACCAUCGGAUGUGCCCAGAUGGGAUUAGCUAGUAGGUGGGGUAACGGCUCACCUAGGCGACGAUCCCUAGCUGGUCUGAGAGGAUGACCGGCCACACUGGAACUGAGAAACAGUCCAGACUCCUACGGGAGGCAGCAGUGGGGAAUAUUGCACAAUUGGCGUAAGCCUGCUGCAGCCAUGCCGAGUGGAUGAAGACGGCCUUUGGGUUGUAAAGUAAUUUCGGCGAGGAGGCGGUCCGCGCAGAGGAAGCACCGGCUAAAUCCGUGCCAGCAGCCGCUGUAAUUC